ACAUCUAGGAAGUGAGAAGCGUCUCUGCCCGGCCGCCCAUCGUCUGAGAUGUGGGGAGCGCCUCUGUCCCGCCGCCCCGUCUGGGAGGUGAGGAGCGCCUCUGCCCGGCCGCGACCCCGUCUGGGAGGUGAAGAGCGUCUCUGCCCGGCCGCCCCGUCUGAGAAGUGAGGAGCCCCUCCGCCCGGCAGCCGCCCUGUCUGAGAAAAAUCAUCCAUGACUUCCUGCAAUGGAAGAUGAGGACACAGCUAAGUAUGAACAUUCAUCUUUUGAGGGCCACACAGGCACAAAUGUUACAGCUACAAGAGGAAAGAAGGUCACAACUGAGGAAAAGGGGCUGAGGGAACUCAAAAAAUACUGCAACUGGCAACAGAGACCACCAUCAAGGGAUAAAAUUACUUCAGCACCUACACACAAAACGCAGAGCAGCUGGAGAAAGGGGCAUGGGAAAAAAAGGCUGCUCAAGAGCAAACCUGAAGACCCUGUUUAUUAGCCAUUUCUCUCCCUGCAAGUGACUGGCAAUCCAUUUUGACUGAACUUGGGAUUCUGAGAUGCUCCGAAUGCCCUCUCUGGUGUUUUUACAGUUGAGGGGAGAAGAGGGUCUGUUCUCCAGGUAAUCUAACACCUCAAGGCUCUGGGUAAGUCUGCAAAAAGUUUUCAAAGGCAAAUUUGGAAGUGAGAAGGGUUACACGUGAUUUUCUGGAAUAAAACAAGAUUUUAUGCUGGUCAUGGGAAAUGCCUUACUGUUGCUUGUGGGGUUUUGGUGUAGCAGAUCAUGAUGAAAUGCAAAAGAAGGCAAUGAAAGAAGGAAGAAUGUAGACAUUUACAGCUCCCAUUUAUGGAGAUUUAUAUGAGGCAGUCCCUUUUUCUGUAUUAACUUAUUUAAACCUCAUAAAAAGUCACAAUUUUAUAGGUGAACAAACUGAAGCUUAGAGAUGAAAGGUAAGGUAACUUAUCCAAGAUCAAACUACUAAGUGGCAAAGCCGGGAUCCAAACUGAAGUCUUUCUUUUCCAAAGCACAUUUCCUAGCCACUGAGAAUACUGCUGCCUAAUGCUAUUCCAUAUGAAUUCAUUAUAUGACUCGCAGACAUGCUCUGUAUGGAGGUGGGUAAACUAUGGCCAAUGCUAAAUCCGGCUUAUUUUUUAUGGACCAAGAGCUAAGAAUGAAUUUUCCAAUUUUAAAUUAAAAACAAAAACCAAGAGGAAUAUUUUGUGCGAGAAAAAUUACAUAAAAUUCAAAUUUCAGAGCCCAAAAAUAAAGCUUUGUAGAAACAUAACCAUGCCAUUCAUUUACAUUUUGCCUAUGGCUGCUUUCAUACUACAGGGGCAAAGUUGAGUAGCAUGAUUGGCAAAGCCUGAAAUGUUUACUAUCUGCCCCUAGGGCCAGGGAGUUGGGAAGUGUGGGAAGAGUUCAGUGACUGGGAUCAUCUAAAAUUUAUCAGGCCAGAUACAGUGGCUCAUGCCUGCAAUCCCAACACUUUGGGAAACUGAGGUGGGAGGAUCACUUGAAGCCAGGAGCUCAAG
rnacentral:lncRNA from 1 species